AUGAGGUCUCUUAGGGACCAAAAUUUGUCUCUUUGUAAUUAUUUAAGAUCAUUUUAUCUCGUCGAGACGAAGGUUUUAACCUUCAUAUCUCCGGCUAGAACGACCUUAAACAGGGGCAUCAGUAAGACCCUAAUUUUGACCCUAAGAUCCCUCAUGGCAUCUUGUUAUUGCACAAGUGCAUUGCUUCAAGGAUCAUAUCAUGUUUGGCUCCUUAACCAUAUGGUGGGUACUUAUUUGAGUGUUUU
rnacentral:lncRNA from 1 species